rnacentral:rRNA from 1 species
UACGUAGGGUGCGAGCGUUAAUCGGAAUUACUGGGCGUAAAGCGUGCGCAGGCGGUUUUGUAAGCCAGAUGUGAAAUCCCCGGGCUUAACCUGGGAAUGGCAAUGGAAACUGGCGGGCUUGAGUAUGGCAGAGGGGGGUGGAAUUCCGCGUGUAGCAGUGAAAUGCGUAGAGAUGCGGAGGAACACCGAUGGCGAAGGCAGCCCCCUGGGCCAAUACUGACGCUCAGGCACGAAAGCGUGGGGAGCAAACAGG